GACUUUGGCUAAAAAAAUAACCUGUCAAAGGAACUGGCAUUUGCUGACGGGACUACAGCACAUCUCGAAGAAUCUGCAGACUGAAACCUUCAAGGCAUUCAUGAAAUGGUCUUUCCUUAGUUCCCCUGCCCUUUCUACUCUUUCUGCCAUUUGGAUUUCACACUGGAAGUUCAAGAGAUGACAUCAGAAAACAGAAAAGCCAGUGGGAAAGGCAAGGAGAUUUGGAAGAGUGUUUGAAAAUUUUGGCAAUCAAGAAUAAGAAGAUGUUGAAAUCAAAUAGUUCCUGCUGGGCACUGUGAAGUAUUUAUCAGAAGUCAGUUAUAUUGCCAAUUCCCGACCAGCUUUACUUAAGACACUUGGGUGUGGAAAGAUAAUGCUGUCUAUGAAAUAAAU
rnacentral:antisense_RNA from 1 species